UGGUGCUAGCCUGCAGUCCGAGCUACUCAGGAGGCUGAGCAUCCCUAAUGGGCAGACAGUUCACUGCAUCUCUAGCUGUUGGCAUAUGGCAUCCAGGAGGACAAGAGAGCCCAGACAGCCCAUCAGAUUAACCACGUAAUAGACCCAGAAGCAGCUUUAAAGCCGUAAAACAAAAUUGCUUAUGGAGUCUGCCAGCACGCCAGAUGCUGCUAUUGGAAGAAAUAUCUUCCAGUGCUUAGCAUCUGGGUUUCACGGUUGCCAGAAAAAAAAAAAGAGAAAAAGAAUUGGCAACUUACUACCAAUGAGAUUGCUUUUGCAAUAUAAGACAUUUUAAUAUUUUUUAAAUGUCAAAGGCAGUAGGUUACAGCAAAGUUUAAAAUUAGGUAUCUCCCUGUACUUGUAGAUAUGUCACUAUUAACCGACAUCCUCCAUACAAUCCCUAGGCAGCUGGUUGGUUAUUAUCUAAAUGAAUCAGAACACUGAGAAUCUUGAAUUCGAAUGUGAAUUUUCAGUCUGUUUUCAAUAUGCUUAUUUUAUUGAUAUUUUGCAUGAUAACAUCCUUGCCAACUGAAUAUAAAUUCUACAUUUAAACAAGGUAAGAAAUAAUGUUUUUGUAUUAGCAAUCGCUGGUUUUUCUGACUGCCAGUUAUAUAAUUGAGUAUUAUAACUAAAGAUAUAACUCCCAAAUAUCCAUCAGCUGUUUUUCAGUGGAAUUGUUUUUUCCUAAGCCAAAUAAACAAUGGAUUUGACUAAUAUAAUUUAAAGCCAAUUAGAUUUAUGAUUUAUGCCUGCACAAGGUGAGUAAUUUCUUUUCGGUUAUAUAAUUUAUCAAUAUUGCCUAAAAUGUGAAGAAUAACUCCUAGCCUAUUAUAGCUCUUAAAAUUGAUAUAGUAUGCACCAAAAUCGACUCUCUUCUCUGAUCAUAAAACAGCACAUUUUACUUGACUCAAGUGAUUCUUUCCAUACUGCUCAAACCAAAUUUGUUGAAAUAGUGAAUAUGAAAGAUCUCCCAAAUUUAAAAUUUUCUGUGGUUGAAUAUUUAGCACCUUAAUAUUAAGGCAAAUCCAAAAACCUAUUAAUUCUCCAAUUUGACCAAAAUGGUUAAUUAUGCACCCUAAAUCUGUUAUAAAGCUACUAGUUUAAAAUACUUUUAAAUCCAAACACCUGAUUUUAUACUAUCAAUACAGUCAAUAGCCAAUUUCAUUAAAUAUGAAUAUAGUGUAAUUUUAGUUGUUAGUAUACUAUGAGUCAGUAAUAAUGAAACUAUGCUUAUUUGAAUAUUACAUUAUGUAGACUUAGAUUAUUUGGGAGAUGGAAAAUGCUACUCACCUCUUGAAAUGUAAUUAUAAUAAUCUUUUGCCAGUUUUCUUGGGGCAGUGAAUAACUAAGAAGAAUUUUACUGAAUCUGAGUCUUUUCCAUUAAUUUAUUUCUUAAAUUCUUUGGUUGUAAUGAACAGAUAUUUAUUUAUUGAUUAAAAUUUGAAGAAUUAUAUAGCAUUAUGUAUCCAAAUUGUAAAUGCAUGCUCUUAGGUGUAAUAAUUUCACUUCAAGAGAUCUAAAUUUUGUGUUCACAAUGUUGCAAUUAUACAUGUGUGUGCAUGUAUAUAUAUAAAGAUAUUCACAGUAACAUUAUUGUAGUAAAAACAAUAGAAAUGAUUUAAAUGCUCAUUAACGGAGGAUAGGUUUAAUAAAUUAAGCUAAUUACAUAGUAUUGGUUAUGUUUCUGGUUAAAAAGAAUGAGGUAGAUUUAUUUAUAAUCUUAUAAGAAGAGCAUUAAUAUACAGUUUUGAACAAAUAAGAGCAAGAUACAUUUUCUAGAAUAUGUUAUUUGUAUAACGAUUUAAAUGAAAAUCUAAAUCUGUGGGUUUAUAUAAUUAUUUAUGUAUAGCAGUGUCUCUAGGGAUAGAAAUAGGGUGGGAAUAUUAUUAUUAUUAUUAUUAUUUUUUUUUUUUUGAGACAGAGUUCCACUCUGUCGCCCAGGCUGGAGCGCAGUGACGCAAUCUCGGCUCACUGCAACCUCUGUUUCCCAGGUUAAAGCGAUUCUCCUGCCUCAGCCUCCCGAGCAGCUGGGACUACAGGUGUGCACUAGCACACCCAGCUAAUUUUUGUGGUUUUUUUAGUAGAGAUGGAGUUUCACCAUAUUGGCCAGGGUGGUAUCAAACUCCUGACCUCGUGAUCCACCCACUUCAGCCUCCCAAAGUGCUGGGAUUACAGGUGUGAGUCACCGCGCCUGGCCGGAAUAUUCUUUUCUUACCUAGAAUAAGCAUACAUUUUAUACUAUUAGUUUUUUUUAAUUGAAUUUUAAAGUAUAAACCCACUUAACCAAUUUCAUUCAUUUGCUCAUUUACACAUUGACGAAAACAUAACCUCUAUAGUUGCCAUGUCAGGAGCACUGUGCUAGAAGUGAAUACAUAUGGCCUGCAGCAUCAUAAAGUCUGGGUAAGGUGAAAAAAAUCAUGCACAUUAAGGAAAAAUAGUAAUAAAAUGCUACAGUUGAUGAAGGUAUUAAAAACCUACUGACAUAAAGGGAGAAUAAUUAAUGCUGCUUAGUCAAAUUAAGGAAAACUUUCCAGAAGAACAGAAUAGUGAGAUUAGUCUUGAUGGAUGCACAGAAAUUAUUUUAGGCAGUUCAAGAAGAUAGUAAAGAUAGAGGGACAAUUAAAUAAAAGAGAAAAACAGCUGAAUGGCUUUUAGGGAAAAACACCAAGUAUGAUUUGGCUUUGAGUGAUGAGAUUAGUGAUGAGUCCCAGGGAUUAAGUUUGAGAAGUCAGGAGAGCCAGAUUAUAAAGAUGUUU
rnacentral:lncRNA from 1 species